CUAUAAUGCCUCACUGGCAACUGUGAGAUGGAGCCAUGAAAAAUAACAGAACAAAACAGCAGAAUAGUCAGGAAUUUAAAGGCAGGGGAUGAAAACCAAGCUGCGGCUUUAACCUUGAAGCUUGGUAGACAUGCAGGAGGCCUUGUUUGAAUGAGUUUGUUUAUGUCAGCCUCAAAAAAAAGAAGACAGAUAUGUGAUAUUGUUUUGAAUAUUUUCCCCACAAACUCCCCUAUAAUCCACUGUGUUCCAAGCUCAUUUCCUUGCAUAAGAAAAAGGCAGGUUGACAGGAAAAUUGCUGCCUCCGCCAACACAGUUUACAUUUGGAGCUGACAUCCCACUAACAACAGAGGAAACCAAAGGAUGCCUAGGUCAAGAGGAGAACAUAUUCUCAAAUCUGGCUACGACCAACCAGUAACUGAACAGAUUCAUCCUUCAGGCCUGACCUGGGAGCUGAGGCAGAAAUAUGAAUUUCAAACUGGGGUGGGGGGUGCCAUAUGGGAGCUCAGAAAAAUGGAAGUGGAUCGGAGAUAGACAAGAGAGGAAUCUGUCAUUCUUGGGCUCGGAUGUCGGGAUCUACGUGAGAGGCGAACUACAAAUUGACCCAGGGCAACAAGGACCCCUGAGCGAGACACUGCCUUGAAGGGAGCCCUGGCAAUUGUCUUUCUGUCUGUCUCCGAGCUCAAAGGUAAGACCAAUUAAAUAAGACUUGCAUUUGCAACACAACAACAAAAACCUCACUUUCUGGUCUUUUUCUGUGUGAUCCAUUUUUAAAGCAGACAAGAGUGGAGGACAGCGUUUGGGUGUAUGACUGCCAUGUUUUGCUUGCACACUUGCAGUAGUAGAGUGAGUAAGUAAAAGUGUCAGACUGCUGUAACAGACGGCCUCCGCGAGAUAAUUAGCCUGGAGUCAUUUGGAAGCUGCUCAGCUCUGCCCAGGUGCCCGCUGUGCACAGAAACAGACCAGACGACCUUUUACUCAGCUCCAUCCCACUGCAGUCACUUAAAACAGUGAUGGAUGCUUCCCUUAACAGCCCGCUCCCUACCAGCCCUUGUCCUCCUUUUCUCCCCCCCUCCCCCUCUUGUCUCCUCUGCUCCAGCACCACUCUCCCCUUAUUUGUCCCUUUUCCUCUCCUUGUUUUUUUUUUUACAAUCCUUUGCCUUUUACAGCCCGCCCAUUCUCUCUGUUCUUCCAGAGUGAUGAGGAGGAAGAGGAAGAAGAAAGGUGGGGGGAUUGAAGUGAAGUGAAGGGGGCGUUUCCUCCUGGUGCAGAGUCAGGCCCUCCCUCCCGUCAGUGCCUCAUUUGUAUGCAGCGGCUGUUGCUCAGGUGACAUGGCCGCUGGAUUCGAUCCCGACUGCGGGAACAUCAGCAGCGUGGCGGAGAGUGGGAUAGCAGGUAAGGACAAUGAGAACAGGUGGGAGAAAGAGAGGAGAGAGAGAGGGAGGUGAAGAGGGAGGAGGACAAAAGGGGUGGAAGGAAAGGAUGGAUAUCUUUGAAGGACUUAGCACCCCACACAUACACUUUAUACUGCUGUAAUGCAUGCGCACAUAUUAUCAGGUUCGAGUCCAGCCUCCCUCCCAAAGCCGUAUCUACAGUUCAGCACAGGAAGUGUGUGUUUUCUUUAAUUAAAAUGACUAUUACUCUCUGAGAUAUGCUAGAUGAGUUAUAGUAGUAAUAAAUAUCUAGGAACAUGCAGUUUUUUUUUCUGUACAUCAUUUGACUUGGUGGGUGUUUUCAAAAUUAAUGGAAUAUCUUUUUCUUGUAUUUUCUUAACAAAGAAUGGAAUAUUUGUAGAUGUUACAAUGUCUACUUGUAUAUAGAGUGAUUUCAAUAAAGGUCUUUGUUGAAUAUGUCCUGCGUUUGGUUAUUUAAAAAUUUAAUGGUUUAAUCCAUGUAAGCAAACAAGGAAGGAAUCCUGCAGUUUCCCCUCAAAACAUUUUCAUUGUUUUCACUUGUGAGGUUUUCAUUCCCCUUGAUAUUGGUUUUGUUGCCAAAGGCAACAAAGAGAGAGGUGUAUUACACAAAUACUCAUACAUUCUGAGUGUGUGUGUCAGAGGAGAGGGUAAGAAAGGGAGGAAAUAGAGUCUGUGUGUAGGUGUGUUUUUGUUUGCUUUAUUUGUGUGUGUGUGUGUGUGUGAGAGAGAACUAGACACAGACUUUGUGUGUU